AGCUACUCCGAGUAGCCAAGGAAGACAUGCCUACGCUCAGCAUGACUCACCAAGAGACAGCAGCAAUCGACACAGGCAAGUCAUCCUUGGCUACCGAAUCAGCUCU
rfam:Setaria italica strain Yugu1 chromosome I, whole genome shotgun sequence.